rnacentral:ncRNA from 19 species
UACCUGUCACAACGGCUUCCUGGCGUGACGAGGUGACCUCAGUGGAGCA